AGUGGCUAAGAAAUUAUAAAAUAAUUCCUCGUUCUGAAUAUUGUUGUCACUGCAUGAUAGACCCUUUUACAACCAUCGAAGAGCA